CCGCCCUCUACCGAACUGAUCGGAACUGAUUGAUAAAUUUCAUUGUAUGAGACUCCCUGAACGCUCCCUGAACGGAGGGCAAAGUAAAUCUUCACCGCCGUUGAAAAUUAAAAGCUGGAAUACUCAGACUCCAGGAAUAAAAAAAUUAACAACUUCACACAAAAGAUAAAAAUGACUUACUUUCAACGGACAGCACGGCGUUAUAUGACAGAAGACGAAACGCUUCAAUGAUAUUGUCACGUGUUAAGUGACUAAACACGAGAACACGAGGGUUGGAUCGGUUGGAUUCACUCCCGCACGUUUUAAGUUACAGUCCGUAUCUGGAGCUCGAAGAAGGAAGAUGACAAUAUAUAAGCUGGUGAUUCGUUACCCGGAUACGCCUAGAUGAAACAUUAUACAGUGAGGCAGUACAUGCGUUCAUCAAUGUAGUGAAGGACCGGGAAAUUACACCGCAUCUUCUUUGCAUGUCAGACGUCAUUCAGCUAAACCCUCAACAGACCAUGAAUCAAGAUGCUAUGAAGAAUAUGGAGUGCUGCAGGGAUCGAUAUUGGGUCCCUUGUUGUUUCUGUUAUAUAUAUUAAUGAUUUAUUACUAAGUCUAAAUACAGAUAUCAAGUUAUUGUUGUAUGUGGAUGAUACAGGUGUACUAGUAUCGGGUGAUAAUAUCCAAACAAAGUUCAGACAUGUGUUAAAUUCCUUAAACCUUUGGUUUACAAGUAAUGGCCUGUCUUUAAAUAUGAAGAGAACUAAAGUUUUAAAAUUUGAAACAAUUAAUCAUCAUGGAAAUAUGCCAAUGCAAUUGCAGAGCAAAAAUGAGGUAUUGCAUGAUGCAAUGAAUAUCAAAUUUUUGGGCCUUGAAAUAGAUACGUUUUUAAAUUGGAAAAAACAUGUUAAAAGUAUUUCGUUGUUUGCUUU